rnacentral:rRNA from 1 species
GACGAACGCUGGCGGCGUGCUUAACACAUGCAAGUCGAACGGAAAGGCCCGGCUUUUGUGGGGUUCUCGAGUGGCGAACGGGUGAGUAACACGUGAGUAACCUGCCCUUGACUUUGUGAUAACUUCAGGAAACUGGGGCUAAUACCGGGUAGGAGCUCCUGCUGCAUGUGGGGGGUUGGAAAGAGUCGGCGGUUGUGGAUGGACUCGCGGCUUAUCGGCUUGUUGGUGGGGUAGUGGUUUACCAAGGCUUUGACGGGUAGCCGGCAUGAGAGGGUGACCGGCCACCUUGGGACUGAGAUACGGCCCAGACUCCUACCGGAGGCAGCGGGGGAGAAUAUUGCACAAUGGGCGGAAGCCUGAUGCAGCAGCCCCGCGUGCGGGAUGCUGGCCUUCGGGUUGUAAACCGAUUUCGCCUGUGACGAAGCGUGAGUGACGGUAAUGGGUAAAGAAGCAACGGCUAACUACGUG